rnacentral:misc_RNA from 1 species
AUGACCUCNAAUCAGGUAGGGAUACCCGCUGAACUUAAGCAUAUCAAUAAGCGGAGGA